UUGCAGGCUGCAACUCGCCUGCAUGAAGUUGGAAUUGCUAGUAAUCGCGAAUCAGAAUGUCGCGGUGAAUACGUUCCCGGGCCUUGUACACACCGCCCGUCACACCAUGAGAGUUGGAAAUACCCGAAGCCUGUGAGCUAACUUAAAGAGGCAGCAGUCGAAGGUAGAGCCAAUGAUUGGGGUGAAGUCGUAACAAGGUACC
rnacentral:rRNA from 1 species